AGCAUGGAGUGUAAGGAACAUGUUGAAGAGAAGAGUUUUGAGAGAAUCGAGCCCAAAAAUCGAGAAAAGACGAAGAUUCUGGAGUCGGGACGGAAAAGGAGCAGUUCGGCGGUCAAAGGGAGUUGACCGCCGAAUUUCGGUGAUUUAAAGGGUGAAAACGGCGACCAAGACGGCGAUCGCCGGCCAGGUCGCCGAAUUCCCUGUCUGAAUUUUGGCCUUCGGAGAGAAAAACGGCGAUCGCCGUUUUCAUGAAGAAAUUUGCCCAUUUUCGGCGACCAGUUCGGCGACCGCCGAACGGGUCGCCGUUUUGAGGCGUGUUUUAUUUUCCUUCCGCGUUUUUACGAUUUUUCAAGUUAUUUUCGGUUUAGAACUUGGUUUUUCACCCUAAGACUAUAAAUAGGUCCUCUUUAGACCUAUCUAGGGUUCCCAGC
rnacentral:lncRNA from 1 species